CUAAAAUGACAUUUAACUCUAAAAAUUAAUAAACGUUAAGAAACGCAUUAGUACAAAGAUAAUCUAUACUAUUAUAAAAAGGAGAAGUGAUGGACAAGAUAGUAAUUUUAUUUGCGUAUAAAUUUUGAAGCACUAUGUACAAUAAAAAGAAGCCAUUUUAAAGGGGCUAAAGUUGCAACUUUUUCAAAAUUUUAAGACACCAUAAGGGUGUUUUAAGGAUUUGAUCAUGGAUUAACAGUACAUUAACUUCUGAGACAAUUGAAUCGUUUCUCAUUGAAUAUAUAUAACCCUAAUACCCAAAUCACAGUUUCCUCUCAUCUCUUCACCUUCAUCACGACUGAAUCCUCCAUAACCCUAAUAUCCCUGUAAAGACUGCACACCAAUUCAUCACACCUCCGUCCACUGCCGUACACCUCCGUCCACCGCCAUGAGUUUUAUCAAUUGGAUUCAGUUCUGGUGAUCUACGCAGCCACCAUCACACUUUGCCGUAAACCUUUGUUCGAUAGAGCUUUCGGUCGUACCGUAACUACCAUUGCGCCAUCAGGUGUGCUCUGUGCUGAUAAACAUAAUGCCAUAGGAAAUUAGUUUGAAUUCUGUGAUAUUCAACACACCUAGCAAGAAUUUCAACGACUUAAAGCUCUAAAUUCAUUCACUAAGAAUAUGACACUGAAGAGUUCACUGAUGAUCGUGAAUUAGCUCAACAGAAAGCUAAAGCAGCAGGUGCAUUUUUAUUAUAUAUACAUAUAGAUUUUUCCACUUUCCAAUUAUUAUAUAAAUGAAAAAUUUUGUAUUGAUUUCCCUCCCUUGUUUUGUAACCUUUGUUGUGACGAUUAAUGCCUAUUACUGUGGUUUAAUUUUGAAAAAUAAUAGUUAUAACAAAGAUACAUUAGAUUUGGUUUGUGAGUGUGAGGAUCUGUUAUUAAAGGAGUUUGGAUUGUUGAAGAAGAACCCUUGAUAUAACAUCCAGUGGGCGGUGGUCAAGCCUAUCCGUGAGCCACAUGUAGCUGUCCAGAAAGUUGUUUAGGGUAAUCCUAAUCCUAGGGGAUAAUUUACAAAGUAUUAUGUUCAGCCAUAUAUUGAGCAGUCUGGUGUUGGUGGUUCUAUGGCUGGAAAUGGAGCUUUUGAUGCAAUUGUGAGUGAUGGAACCCACACUUUUUUAUGUUUAAGACGCGUUGUUUGUCAUAAAAAGGAAAGGUGACGUAUAAAAAUGUAAUUUUACAUCAUGUACAACAUUAGAAGCAGCAUAUACAACAUUGUGUAAGCAGAGAAAAUUAGAAAGUGUUUGUGGUUUUUUAAGACGCUGGAAGGGCACAAUUGACAAUUCAACCUCCUUGACUUUAAUUGCCAUAGUAAUUGAAUGCCAAUUGAAUGCGGUCUUCAUCACCACCGGUUCGUUUUCUCAUCAACAAUCAAUGAAAUCAUCAUGUUUACUGGUGAAUUGAUCAAUUGAAACUGAUUUUAAACUUGAAUUGAAGCAGCCCCUUCGUUUCCAGACCCACCCCCUUAUUACUCGGCAAUUGAACGCCUUUGUUGGUUCGUUUUGGGUGAAUAAUGUUGUUUUCGCGAGCGGUGGCUUGGUUUCCGGUGGCUACAAAUGAAAUUGGUAGUGAUGGUCAGACAUUAGCAUAGAUUCAGGCCAAUUCCGGUCACGCCAAUAAGUCCAGCGGAAUCCAUUCCGGUGACCUCGAAUUUAAGAACCCUAAAAUCCAAAAUCAUCCCUGACGCGAUUAAGAUUAUGCCUCUAGGAUAUGUGUGCCCUUUUGUGAUUUAUAUGAACCUGUGUUAAUCUGAGAAGUUUAGUGGACUAGAACAGGCACAAUUUCAUCCCACCUACAUCGCGCAUGACUAACAGUUGGUUAAUGAUGCAAUCGAUUUGUAUAUAAACAGUUUUAGAUACGAAGAACACUUCAUUCUCUGCAAACCAAGAUAGUGCUAUCAGUGAGGAAUGCAGAGUUGCUUGGGAUAUAUGUUAAUAAGAGAGUUGAUGUGUUCAUGGGCUGCUUAGUAGUGGGCUGGGCUUGCAUAGAAGACAUCAUAAAUAGAUAAUGCUAAUGGGCUGGAGCUAAUGCGGGCUGAUGAUGGGCUUGCUGAUGGGUCAUGCCUGUUCGUGUGUUAAAGACUGGAGGCCUUUGAAGGCCGUGUAUAAAACGCUACGAGACAACAGACCUGAAGUGUGAGUUUUCAUUCAGUCAUCGAGAGAGUUCCAGAGUCUUCAUUCACACAAUAUAGAUUCUCUCUAGUUGAUUCACAUGUCUCGUUCGCGAUACUAUUAGGGUUUCUUGUUAGAUCAUUAUAGGGAUCGUUGUGUCGAUGGUACUCUAUAUUUUUGUAAUUGUUUCUGUUUCAGAGAUUCUUCCAGUAGUUGUGUUUUUGGGUUUCUCGUAAUACAUGUUCGCUCAGCUGUUCAUUCUCAUAUUUCACUAAAAUCUAGGGUUUCUUGUAA